rnacentral:rRNA from 1 species
GUGGGGAAUUUUGGACAAUGGGCGCAAGCCUGAUCCAGCAAUGCCGCGUGUGUGAAGAAGGCCUUCGGGUUGUAAAGCACUUUUGUCCGGAAAGAAAUGGCCUGGGUUAAUACCCCGGGUCGAUGACGGUACCGGAAGAAUAAGCACCGGCUAACUACGUGCCAGCAGCCGCGGUAAUACGUAGGGUGCGAGCGUUAAUCGGAAUUACUGGGCGUAAAGCGUGCGCAGGCGGCGAUGCAAGACAGAUGUGAAAUCCCCGGGCUCAACCUUGGAACUGCAUUUGUGACUGCAUGGCUAGAGUGCGUCAGAGGGGGGUGGAAUUCCGCGUGUAGCAGUGAAAUGCGUAGAGAUGCGGAGGAACACCGAUGGCGAAGACAGCCCCCUGGGAUGACACUGACGCUCAUGCACGAAAGCGUGGGGAGCAAACAGGAUUAGAAACCCUGGUAGUCC